GACGAACGCUGGCGGCGUGCUUAACACAUGCAAGUCGAACGGAAAGGCCCUGCUUUUGUGGGGUGCUCGAGUGGCGAACGGGUGAGUAACACGUGAGUAACCUGCCCUUGACUUUGGGAUAACUUCAGGAAACUGGGGCUAAUACCGGAUAGGAGCUCCUGCUGCAUGGUGGGGGUUGGAAAGUUUCGGCGGUUGGGGAUGGACUCGCGGCUUAUCAGCUUGUUGGUGGGGUAGUGGCUUACCAAGGCUUUGACGGGUAGCCGGCCUGAGAGGGUGACCGGCCACAUUGGGACUGAGAUACGGCCCAGACUCCUACGGGAGGCAGCAGUGGGGAAUAUUGCACAAUGGGCGGAAGCCUGAUGCAGCAACGCCGCGUGCGGGAUGACGGCCUUCGGGUUGUAAACCGCUUUCGCCUGUGACGAAGCGUGAGUGACGGUAAUGGGUAAAGAAGCACCGGCUAAUUACGUGCCAGCAGCCGCGGUGAUACGUAGGGUGCGAGCGUUGUCCGGAUUUAUUGGGCGUAAAGGGCUCGUAGGUGGUUGAUCGCGUCGGAAGUGUAAUCUUGGGGCUUAACCCUGAGCGUGCUUUCGAUACGGGUUGACUUGAGGAAGGUAGGGGAGAAUGGAAUUCCUGGUGGAGCGGUGGAAUGCGCAGAUAUCAGGAGGAACACCAGUGGCGAAGGCGGUUCUCUGGGCCUUUCCUGACGCUGAGGAGCGAAAGCGUGGGGAGCGAACAGGCUUAGAUACCCUGGUAGUCCACGCUGUAAAUGGUGGGUACUAGGUGUGGGGUCCAUUCCACGGGUUCCGUGCCGUAGCUAACGCUUUAAGUACCCCGCCUGGGGAGUACGGCCGCAAGGCUAAAACUCAAAGGAAUUGACGGGGCCCCGCACAAGCGGCGGAGCAUGCGGAUUAAUUCGAUGCAACGCGUAGAACCUUACCUGGGUUUGACAUGGAUCGGGAGUGCUCAGAGAUGGGUGUGCCUCUUUUGGGGUCGGUUCACAGGUGGUGCAUGGCUGUCGUCAGCUCGUGUCGUGAGAUGUUGGGUUAAGUCCCGCAACGAGCGCAACCCUUGUUCACUGUUGCCAGCACGUUAUGGUGGGGACUCAGUGGAGACCGCCGGGGUCAACUCGGAGGAAGGUGGGGAUGACGUCAAGUCAUCACGCCCCUUAUGUCCAGGGCUUCACGCAUGCUACAAUGGCUGGUACAGAGAGUGGCGAGCCUGUGAGGGUGAGCGAAUCUCGGAAAGUCGGUCUCAGUUCGGAUUGGGGUCUGCAACUCGACCUCAUGAAGUCGGAGUCGCUAGUAAUCGCAGAUCAGCAACGCUGCGGUGAAUACGUUCCCGGGGCU
rnacentral:rRNA from 1 species